rnacentral:rRNA from 1 species
GACGAACGCUGGCGGCGUGCUUAACACAUGCAAGUCGAACGGAAAGGCCCUGCUUUUGUGGGGUGCUCGAGUGGCGAACGGGUGAGUAACACGUGAGUAACCUGCCCUUGACUUUGGGAUAACUUCAGGAAACUGGGGCUAAUACCGGAUAGGAGCUCCUGCUGCAUGGUGGGGGUUGGAAAGUUUCGGCGGUUGGGGAUGGACUCGCGGCUUAUCAGCUUGUUGGUGGGGUAGUGGCUUACCAAGGCUUUGACGGGUAGCCGGCCUGAGAGGGUGACCGGCCACAUUGGGCCUGAGAUACGGCCCAGACUCCUACGGGAGGCAGCAGUGGGGAAUAUUGCACAAUGGGCGGAAGCCUGUUGCAGCAACGCCGCGUGCGGGAUGACGGCCUUCGGGUUGUAAACCGCUUUCGCCUGUGACGAAGCGUGAGUGACGGUAAUGGGUAAAGAAGCACCGGCUAACUACGUG